UCUUCCAUGCCGCACGCGAGCUCCGCUGACCAGGCUGGUAUGUCGUCGUCUUUGUUCUAUGGAUUGCCCAGGACACGACGAAAGCGUUUCCUUGGAAAUGACAACUUGCUUCGCCAUAUUGACUGCAAUCAGAGUGACAUAUCCGAUGAGAGCAGCGAUGAUGAAUUGGAAGUGGCACCUGUUGAUAGAAACUCUGAUGAAGAAAUCAGUUCAACGGAGUCCGAGGAUGAGGUCACGGCACCCACAACAGGCUUGAAAGUGACAUACGCUAUACGUGGAAGAAAACAUCAUUUCAGAUGCCAGGAAGUUGCUUCAAAAAUGACUUGCCUUUGCCUCCCUCCGAGCCUCACACAGCAAAGCAGCUGUUUGACUUGUUUGUGUCAAGAACGAUGCUGACACGCGUCGUUGAAGGAACGAACAAGUACUACCUGCAUAAAAAUGGAACGUCGUUAGGCAUGACUAUUGAAGAACUAACUAGCAUACUGGGAA